UACGAAGGGGGCUAGCGUUGCUCGGAAUCACUGGGCGUAAAGGGCGCGUAGGCGGCCAUUCAAGUCAGGGGUGAAAGCCUGUGGCUCAACCACAGAAUUGCCUUUGAUACUGUUUGGCUAGAGACCGGAAGAGGUAAGUGGAACUGCGAGUGUAGAGGUGAAAUUCGUAGAUAUUCGCAAGAACACCAGUGGCGAAGGCGGCUUACUGGUCCGGUUCUGACGCCGAGGCGCGAAAGCGUGGGGAGCAAACAGG
rnacentral:rRNA from 1 species